GACGCGUGCGGGUGAUGGGGGCUUUGCACUUUGCAACGGACGUGUCCUCUGGUUUAUACGAUGUGCUUGUUUUGUCUCUUUCAGGGGAGGGUCACUGUGUUUAUAGAAGACGACCUGAUGCAGGCAGGAAACUGGCGAUGUUUAGACACAUAUUUGGAUGGACGACAAGAAAAUAAAAAGUGUGUUGUUCGGGAAAAAUAGAACCGGAAAGACAGGAAGAUCUGACGGAGAAUGGCUUGACCACAUAAGAGACAGGUGUCAGGCAGAUGUGCACGAUAUGUCAGAGAAUGGCUUGACGACAUAAUUAGACAGGUGUCAGACAGAUGUGCACGAUGUGACAGAGAAUGGCUUGACCACAUAACACACAGGUGUUAGACAGAUGUGCACGAUGUGACAGAGAAUGGCUUGACGACGUAACAGACAGGUGUCAGACAGAUGUGCACGAUGUGACAGAGAAUGGCUUGACGACGUAACAGACAGGUGUCAGACAGAUGUGCACGAUGUGACAGAGAAUGGCUUGACCACAUAAGAGACGGUGUCAGACAGAUGUGCACGAUGUGACAGAGAAUGGCUUGACGACGUAACAGACAGGUGUCAGACAGAUGUGCACGAUGUGACAGAGAAUGGCUUGAUGACAUAAGAGACAGGUGUCAGACAGAUGUGCACGAUGUGACAGAGAAUGGCUUGACGACAUAAGAGACAGGUGUCAGACAGAUGUGCACGAUGUGUCAGAGAAUGGCUUGACGACGUAACAGGUGUCAGACAGAUGUGCACGAUGUGUCAGAGAAUGGCUUGACGACGUAACAGGUGUCAGACAGAUGUGCACGAUGUGACAGAGAAUGGCUUGACGACAUAAUUAGACAGGUGUCAGACAGAUGUGCACGAUGUGUCAGAGAAUGGCUUGGCGACAUGAGAGACAGGUGUCAGACAGAUGUGCACGAUGUGUCAGAGAAUGGCUUGACCACAUAAUUAGACAGGUGUCAGACAGAUGUGCACGAUGUGACCGAGAAUGGCUUGCCGACGUAAGAGACAGGUGUCAGACAGAUGUGCACGAUGUGACAGAGAAUGGCUUGAUGACAUGAGAGACAGGUGUCAGACAGAUGUGCACGAUGUGACAGAGAAUGGCUUGACCACAUAAGAGACAGGUGUCAGACAGAUGUGCACGAUGUGACAGAGAAUGGCUUGCCGACGUAAGAGACAGGUGUCAGACAGAUGUGCACGAUGUGACAGAGAAUGGCUUGAUGACAUGAGAGACAGGUGUCAGACAGAUGUGCACGAUGUGACAGAGAAUGGCUUGACCACAUGACAGACAGGUGUCAGACAGAUGUGCACGAUGUGUCAGAGAAUGGCUUGCCGACGUAAGAGACAGGUGUCAGACAGAUGUGCACGAUGUGACAGAGAAUGGCUUGACGUAAGAGACAGGUGUCAGACAGAUGUGCACGAUGUGUCAGAGAAUGGCUUGACCACAUAGGAGACAGGUGUCAGACAGAUGUGCACGAUGUGUCAGAGAAUGGCUUGACGACAUAAGAGACAGGUGUCAGACAGAUGUGCACGAUGUGUCAGAGAAUGGCUUGACGACAUAAGAGACAGGUGUUAGACAGAUGUGCACGAUGUGUCAGAGAAUGGCUUGACCACAUAGGAGACAGGUGUCAGACAGAUGUGCACGAUGUGUCAGAGAAUGGCUUGACGACAUAAGAGACAGGUGUCAGACAGAUGUGCACGAUGUGUCAGAGAAUGGCUUGACGACGUAACAGACAGGUGUCAGACAGAUGUGCACGAUGUGACAGAGAAUGGCUUGACGUAAGAGACAGGUGUCAGACAGAUGUGCACGAUGUGUCAGAGAAUGGCUUGACCACAUAAUUAGACAUGUGUCAGACAGAUGUGCACGUUGUGACAGAGAAUGGCUUGACGACAUAAGAGACGGUGUCAGACAGAUGUGCACGAUGUGACAGAGAAUGGCUUGGCGACAUGACAGACAGGUGUCAGACAGAUGUGCACGAUGUGACAGAGAAUGGCUUGACGACAUAAGAGACAGGUGUCAGACAGAUGUGCACGAUGUGACAGAGAAUGGCUUGAUGACA